rnacentral:rRNA from 1 species
UACGUAGGGUGCAAGCGUUGUCCGGAAUUAUUGGGCGUAAAGAGCUCGUAGGCGGUUUGUCGCGUCGAAUGUGAAAACCCGGGGCUCAACCCCGGGCCUGCAUUCGAUACGGGCAGACUAGAGUUCGGUAGGGGAGUCUGGAAUUCCUGGUGUAGCGGUGAAAUGCGCAGAUAUCAGGAGGAACACCGGUGGCGAAGGCGGGACUCUGGGCCGAUACUGACGCUGAGGCACGAAAGCGUGGGUAGCAAACAGG